GGUGGGAUGUUGACAGCCAGCGUCCCACGGCACUCUUGCACCUCCACAGUGAGCAGCAGGGGUGUGUUGGACACCUCCUCCAUCUUCUUUUUGAUGAACUCUGUCUCUGUGGCUUUCUGGAAGUACUUCGACUUGGCUAUCUUGUCCACAAAGCGCAUGAUCUUGCUUGGCCUGUGGCCUCCCACAAAGCUACAUGAGCAGAGGAUGGAGACACAGGAGGCAGGAAUAUGAGCUGAUGUAAAGAGACAUUUGCUCACCCCUCGCCGCCGGGCAGAAUAGGUCUGUCACUGAGGAGUUCCUGGGGAUCCUCCUCAUCCGAUGAGCCAGCGCUUGACGACUCCUCAUCGCUGUCUGCCAGACAGUAUGUCCGUGGCCUGGGCCUGUCUCACACACACACACACAAGGUUGCAAAGUCAGGCCCCAAUGGCUUUGUGCAGAACCAUUAACAAUAAAAAUGAAUUCAUUUAAUGUAUCCCAACUGAUAUAAACACCAGAAAAUGAAUCUCCACUGACUCACACAAGAAAAGAAACUCAAGCAACAAACUAUAUUGUUUCAGUUACAUGCCUCAGUGGGCAUCUAUUCCCAAACUCACCAGUCGUUGGACAAAUCCACAGUGUUAAGCGCCCAGAGAGAGGUUUAGUAUAUAAAGAGAAGGGAGGAAGAGCCACAAGAAUAAAGGUACAAGCUGUGAAAAAAACGUGAAAACUCAUAUGGCUCUAAAUGCAAAUCUACUCUGUUAGAGCUGUUUUGUUUUAAUUUAAAAAAAACAUUCAAACAUCUUAUUUUGCAAGCUGCAAAGUUUUCAUAAACUGUAAUGUAAUUGAAAGCCUCACCAUUCUUUCCCGUGCUCCCCAAGUCCCUCGCCCUCUUUCCCCAGACGGGCCAGGUUCAUCUUGGUCUCCAGGGUCAUGAGGAAGGAGCCCGUGUAGGAGACCUCCAUAUCGAACCACAGACCUGAGAUGCAGAUAUACAGCGUUUUCAAAAUCAAAAUUAUAAUUGUUGUACAAUCAUGAAUAAACAAGGAUCUCCCUGCA